rnacentral:tRNA from 1 species
AUUUAUAUAGUUUAUAAAAAAACACUUCAUUUUCAAUGAAGAAAUGAGAUAUAUCUCUGUAAAUA